rnacentral:rRNA from 1 species
UGGGAUUAGAUACCCCACUAUGCCUAGCCCUAAACAUUGAUAGACCAUUACAACCCCUAUCCGCCCGGGUACUACGAGUGGUAACUUGAAACCCAAAGGACUUGGCGGUGCUUUAGACCCCCCUAGAGGAGCCUGUCCUAGAACCGAUAAUCCCCGUUCAACCUUACCUUACCUUGCUUAUCAGCCUAUAUACCGCCGUCGAAAGCUUACCCUUUGAAGGCCCAAUCGUGAGCUAACCCAGUAGAACUCCUUAUGUCAGGUCGAGGUGUAGUAUAUGGUACAGGAAAGAGAUGGGCUACAUUUACUGGCCCAGUAAAUACGGAUAAUUCAGUGAAACCUGAAUUUGAAGGAGGAUUUAGUAGUAAGCAGGGAGCAGAGUGCCCUGCUGAACUUGGC